rnacentral:tRNA from 1 species
GUGGGUAGAGCUCAGGGGUAGAGUGCGUGCUUAGCAUGCACUAGGUCCUGGGUUUAAUCCCCAGUACUUCCA